CUCUUGUGAGGACCCGGUCCACUGACCGGCCCGCACUCAGUAUUGGCCCUGUGGGCGGCCCGAAGAGGCCAGCUUAGCCCCGAUGAAUCGGGAGAGGAAGACUCCGACUGGGAAUCUCCCUCCUCGCCGUUAUUGCGAUCGGAAAAGGAUGAAGCCCAAGCUUAAUCAAACACUAAAAGCUGGGAUUUACGCCUAUAUAAGAUCCCCCAUCCUCCCCUUUGAGAUCCAUCAAAGAAAAAAGGGUUCUUUUGGUCUCGAUCUCAAGCCGUCUUCCUGAGAGUUUUCCUCUGUAUUCCGCCAGGAAAGGUCGCAGGCGAGCCUCGCCGGACUGAGGAUGAAAAUUCAAAGAGAAAACUCGCUUUAUGAAUACCUAAUACUUGAAGGAAAAAGGUUCUUGUUGUCCAUGCUAUGUAUAACUUCACUGUCGCUCAUCAAAAUUUCCAUAGCAUCAUUAGGAAUGAAAGUCCUGCCACAGCCAGCAAGAUGAGUAAAUAAGCAAAAAAUGAACUAGGAAUCAAAUUAGCACUGGAAGAUAUUGUCUGAAGCAGAUGAGUAAUAUUUUAUUCUUUGACUGAUCUUUGGUUUUGUCUGCUUAUGAGACAAAGGAGGUCAAAUUUGCUGAAAGUGGUACGAUUCAUUUCCCUUUAAUUCCUUUUCCUUUAAUAGGUAACAUCAAUAAUCGAA